CAACUCUCUGUCAUGGUGUUCAUGUAAAGAGAAGGCAGGUGAAACAAUCCCCUUUACCAGUGCAUGGAAUGGAGUGGAUCUAAGUGACACGAUGCAUAUUGGUAGGAAAUACUCCAGAAAACAGUGCAAAAGCUAUUCCGUGAGAAAAGCUUGUUGAAUCCUGCCUUUACUCUGGGGCCAGAUUUCUAUCUGGAGUCAGUUGGGAGUCAGUUGGAGCUGUGUCAGCUUACAGCAGCUGAGCAGCUCCCCGCUCGCGUUCCGCCAGCUUCAGGGAUAGGGAGCAGCUACAUCUGUAAGGAAACAGCUCUUUUCUUAUUAUCCUGACUAGCUUUUAAGUCUUCCUUAGGGCAGCCUAUACCUGCAGGUUGCUGGAGAAAACAGCAAUGCCACGUCCUCGCUGCAAAAUGCCGUAUUCCUUGAGCAAAAUUGCUGCUAAUGAGUUUGUUUUCCCCAGAAAAAAAUCUAUGAUGUUAAUAUGGAGACAGGAAGCAAAAAAAAAAAAAACAGAAAUGGAAAAAAUAUAUAUAUCUUGACUACAGAUUUUAUUGGAGGGCAGAGAUAUAAAUGCAGAACAUCCAUCCCUGGAGUAAUGGAGAUGCACUUUUCUGGAGAUAAUCUUCCUUCGGGGCUGUAUGUCGUGCUCAAAGCAUAAUUUCUCUGCUUGACAAGUUGUUUCUCUUCUGAAGGUGUCCGCAGCUCAGUACAGUGAGGAUCUUUAUGCUCCACAACUGAUUUGUGAUUUCGAAUUCCCUUAGCUUUGCAUUUUGUGGCCGACCCUCUUCCAAGAAGUUUUCCAACACGAAUCCAUCCCUCUUCUCACUGGCUGAUUUGGAGCCUAGCUGGCCUCACAUCAAAGCCUUAUUUUCCUGAAUCAUUAAGAUUAGAAAAGACCACUAAGAUCAUCUAGUCCAACGGUCAACCCAUCCCCACCAUGCCCAUUACACCAUGUCCCUCAGUGCCACAUUUACCCUUUUGCUUGAACACCUCCAGGUAUGGCGAGUUCUUCACUUCCCUGGGCAGCCCGUUCCAAUGCCUCACCUGUUGCCUUUUGCUAUUACUGGCCCUUUUUUGCUUCCAGGGUUAUCUGGUGGGAUUUAUCUGAGAAACAGCUUUUUGGUUAAAGUUACUCUGGGGACACCAAAAUCUAACUCUCAUAAUUGAUACAAUAGCUGCCUUCUCUGGGCUUUGUGGGCUGUGAAAUGCCUGAGUUAGUGCUUGGAGCUGGCAUGUAUUAAGAUGCUGAGAAUGAAGUGAUGCUGUUGUUCUCUAUAUUUUCUGCAAAGACAGAUGCUCAGUCAACCCCAAAAUCCAUUUUUUUGCCUCAGUAUCUAAUAACCCAGCUUGGCCACUGACUCUUAGUGCUACCUGCUCUUUAAAAGGCUGGAUUUGUAGCAUCAUAUCCCCUCAAACCUCCCAGUUGCUAUUGGCCAAAUACUGCAUUUCUUUGGUUUUAGAGUUGCUUUGGGCUGAUGAAAAAAGAAUUCAGCAAAGUAUAUUCACCUUCUUUAUGCUAAGGAUACUGCUAGAGGUGUUACAUCUAACACAUGAGAUGCUAUUUAUGGAAUUUAACGAUAAGUUGUACAAAGUCUUGAGCUGGA
ensembl:lncRNA